UUCGCCGCCAGCGCCAGCAGACAAUGUUUUGGUUUCGUUCAAUGUUUGGAUACAAUCAAUAGGAAUAGGCUGCGUCUUUUCUCAAGGUUUUGGUCUACCGGCAGAACUAUAUAUUUGCAUUCCGUUGCAAUUCGGUAUAAUUCAAUAAUUCCGAAGGCUGUACUUGGUGUAGUGGUUGAAAGAAAGAUCGUUUUUCGAAAUGACGAGUCUGAGAUCGGUCCUCAUCUUCAUUUUCGCAAUGAUAACGAAGGGAUACGGAAUCUCCAGGACCUACUCGAAGUCUCCGUUUUGCAACAUCACCAGUGGAAAUAAUUCACCUUGCCCAGAUGUUUUUACCCAAAUGGGUGUGACCUGCCAAGCUAAAGAGAUCUUACACGAACAAGAUUGCAGCAAACUUAAUUUCUCAAUACCAUUCUAUGAAAUUCCACUACAGCAAGAUGAAUCAUUUUCUUUAACUGAUUUAAAGAUAAAGCCCUAUACAUAUUUUAAGGAGAAGAGAUCUGCUCCUAAUGUGAAUGUUUCAUUCUCCAACAUAAAAUUUUCUUCCUUAUCUUAUAGAAUGAAAAUACAAUGUGAUUUGAGAAGCGAAAUGGUAUGCUGGAAUGUCACUAAUGUCUCAAACUCAGACAUCACUAUACCGGAAUCUGCACUUUUGUUCUGGGACUGUAAAUGGUUUUCAUCCCAAUUAUCUAAAUGUGGUAUUAUUACUUUAGAGUAUCAAGUAUCAGAUGGAAAAAAGGCAGAGUUUGAGAAAUUUCAGUUUAAAAUCCCCCAGAAAAAUGAUACUCAAAUUUUGGUAUAUAUUCAAUUCCAUGCUCAGUGUGUAACAGUUCAUUGGGCUGCCUCUCAUGACAAUAUAUCCAGCUACAGGGUGCGAUUAUAUGAGGGGAAUGACACCACUGUGGAUGAGUUUGUCAUCAAUGGAACAAAUCACAAAUUUUGUGAUAAACUGUAUCCAUUCACACAGUAUCAGAUCUCUGUUGAAGGAAAGAUUUCAGACAAUGGUUGGGGUCAGCCUUCCUUUUCAAUACCAUUUACAACCCGCUCUUCACCUAUAAAUUAUAGGCUUGGAACCACUGUUACUAUUUUUUGUGUGUGUGUGUGUGUCAUCCUAUUGGUUUUUCUCAGUGUUACAUUCAUAAAAUAUUUUUCAGGAAGAAAUUUUUCAAUUCCGAGCAGGUGCGUCAUUGUCUAUUACCCUUCAUCAAGAAGACAUCUUAAAGUUGUGGCAACCUUCGUAAAUUUUCUUAGACGUUUCAUGAAAGUAUGCUAUUUUGAAGACAUAAAAGGAAAUGAGGAUCCUGAUGAUUGGUGGGGCAGAGAGUUGGCGGAUGCAGACCUAAUCCUUGUAGUGUCCAAACCUCCGUCCACUUGUCAACCUAAUGAAAUAGUUAGUGUAUUCUCCCUUUUCUUUGCAAGUGGUUUUGUGGAAAAUGCCCUUAGACAGUGUAUUGUGUACAAUGCUCCCCAAAAAAGGAUCAUCAGGGUAUUACUUCCAUAUUGCAAAGAAAAAAGUGGCUUCUAUUCAUUCUUAAGAUGCACACCAUGUUAUCAUCUAGUACAAGAUCGCUUUAAGCUUCUCCAAGAAAUUUUGGGUCCUCACAAUGUCUAUCUUCCUGGCUGUUUAGCUUCACGUCUCUAUUCUUCACAUAUCGAGUCAGAUGAUUGGACAAAAUUACAAUAUUCACUCAAACAUUAUAAUAUUGAGUGUAAAGCAGACCAGAAGAUUGGGAUUGGUCAUUCUAUGGAGUCUGUGUCUUCUAUUGGAAAAGGAUCUUAUGAAUCUGAUGUAGACAGGGAGAGGAGGGCUAUAAUUCUGGAUAGCCUUAAAGACAAGAAACAAGAAAGUGAAUCGGAAGCAGGAAGUGAAUCAGAAGCAGGAAGUGAAACAUGAGUGUUGAAACCUCAAAGAUGGGGUAGGUGUCAUAUCUAUUGAAUGGAGCUCAGACAGUCGUUGUACAAGCGUCACUUUAUAGCCAUGUUAAACUCUUUUGUUCAAUAUCUUUCUUAUCCUUCAACCUGUGCUCUUAACAAGAACACACACUGGGUCGCAUCAAGUGAAAGCCCGAAUAACUGUGAUUGUUGAAUACUGUAAGGGCAAAAUAGUCAAGAACCAUCUGUCAUGAUUCGUUCAUGUGAACACAUUCAUUGUUGAAAUGUCCCAAGUUGAGUUGCAAAGCCAAAUUUCAAGACCCCACGAGUAUGCCCCGCCGGCUCUUCGACAGCGUAAUCUAAUAAAUCGUUGUUUUAUAGAAUAAGAGAGAAAAUGUAAACACGGUGAAAAUGCCUCGCCGCCCGGCUGUUUAUUUGUUUUACGGUCCGUUCCUAUUUCAAUGUAACCUUACGGGCUAUAUAACAACUAGAUGUAGAAAGGUAGAAACGGUAACAGCGGAGGGGUGGUGAGGCCCAAGCGAGUCAGUGGACGCCCGGCGUGGAGGCAACCCUUCCGACUCGCCGGCCCGACGGGCGUCCGGGCUCCCCGGCGCUACGGGGCUGUCAAAAUAAAAUACGGUUUGGCCGACUGACCGACCGACUGUCAACCUCGGAACGACCAGGGUGACUGAAUUAUCGUGUUCGGGGAUUUUCUCGCACGCUGAGUCCAAAUCUGGUAGUGCCGAUGUCGUCCGGGUCCCCGGAGACGUCAUUGGGGACCUCCAGAGCACGCCGAUGACACUCCCACGACAAAUACGAUUCGGCUCCAAACGUCGUGUACACACGGGCUGGUGCAUUUUUCUUAAAAGUCGCCAAAUAUAAAUAUUAUUAAUAGCAAA